rnacentral:rRNA from 1 species
AACGAACGCUGGCGGCAUGCCUAACACAUGCAAGUCGAACGAGACCUUCCUGUCUAUUUGCGCACGUGUGCGUAACGCGGGGGAACCUACCCUUAGGUUCGGAAUAACUCCCCGAGGGAUGUGCUAAUGACGGUUAAUCUCAUCGGGCCAAAGAUCUAUCGCUGUUGGAUGGGCCCGCGUUAGAUUGGCUGGUUGGUAGGGUAAAAGCCUACCAAGGAGACGAUGCAUGGCUGGUCGGAGAGGAUGCUCAGCUACACUGGGCCUGAGGCACGGACCAGACUGCUACGGGAGGCAGCAGUAGGGAAUAUUGGACGAUGAGCGAAAGUGUGACAACGCCAUGCCGGGUGAGAGAUGAAGGGCUUAGGGUUGUAAAGCCCUUUUACACGAGAUGAUAAUGACGGUAACGGGAGAAGAAGCACCGGCUAACUACGUG